CAGAGCUCCCCAACCUCUCCUCCACUGCAACCUUGGACCCAGUCCUCAGCCCCGCCCAGAACGGGCAGGGCAUGCCCCUCACCUGUCGCCACUCCCCGAAGGCACUCCAUCCAGCUCCCCUUGGGGGAUCAGACUUCGGAACCCCAUCUCCCGGGAAGUCAGGUCGCAGAGCCCCCAACCCCUGCCCCCUUUGGAGACACAGCUACCUGCUGUCCCCUCCCCUUCUCCCGGGCCCGCCCUCGCCUCUCCCGCCCCUUCCCCGGGCUGGGCGGGGCCCUCCGUGCCUUUCCCAACGCGCCCGGCACCCAGGGCACCCGAGGGACCAUGGCUGCGGCAGCGGCCCCGCGGGGGCGACAGCGGGGAGAGCCUCGCGCGCUCGGCCGGGCGGUGAGGUUGCUGCAGCGCCUGGAGGAGCGGUGCGGGGACCCGCGACUCUCCUCGAGCCCGCCCUCGCUGCGGGACCUGCUGCCCCGCACCGCGCAGCUGCUGCGCGACGUGGCCCAAACCCGGAGGACGGCCGGCGGAGGCGACCCCGAGGGACCCGGGGGCGCGGGGGACUUCCUCGUCGUCUACCUCGCCAACCUGGAGGCCAAGAGCAGGCAGGUGGCGGAACUGCUGCCACCGCGGGGCCGGAGGAGCGCCAACGACGAGCUCUUCCGGGAGGGCUCGAGGCUCAGGCGACAGCUGGCCAAGCUGGCUCUCAUCUUCAGCCACAUGCACGCAGAGCUGGGCGCGCUCUUCCCCCAGGGAAAGUACUGUGGACACACGUACCAGCUCACCAAGGCCCCUGCCCACGCCUUCUGGAGGGAGCGCUGCGGAGCCCGGUGUGUGCUGCCCUGGGCCGAGUUUGAGUCCAUCUUGUGCACCUGCCACCCUGUGGAAUCGGGCGCCACUGCCCUGGCCUUGCGCUCCACCAUCGACCUCACCUGCAGCGGCCACGUGUCCGUCUUUGAGUUUGACAUCUUCACCAGGCUCUUCCAGCCCUGGCCAACCCUCCUCAAGAACUGGCAGCUCCUGGCGGUCAACCACCCGGGCUACAUGGCCUUCCUCACCUAUGACGAGGUCGGAGCGCGUCUGCAGGCCUGCAGAGACAAGCCGGGCAGCUACAUCUUCCGGCCCAGCUGCACUCGCCUGGGACAGUGGGCCAUUGGAUACGUGAGCACAGACGGCAGCAUCCUGCAGACCAUCCCUCCCAAUCAACCCCUGUUCCAGGCCCUCCUGGAAGGACAAAAGGAAGGCUUCUACCUCUACCCAGACGGGAAGAACCACAACCCGGACCUGACCGAACUCCGCCAGAUGGAACCCCAGCAGCACAUCCACGUGUCGGAGGAGCAGCUGCGGCUGUACUGGGCCAUGGACUCCACGUUCGAACUCUGUAAGAUCUGUGCCGAGAGCAACAAGGAUGUGAAGAUCGAGCCGUGCGGGCACCUGCUUUGUAGUCGCUGCCUGGCCGCCUGGCAGCACUCGGACAGCCAGACCUGCCCCUUCUGCCGCAGCGAGAUCAAGGGCCGAGAGGCUGUGAGUAUCCACCAGUUCCAGGGGAGGCCAGUGGAAGCCAGGCUCCCUGCUGAGGACCCCAGGCCUGGCAGUGACCAAGAAGAUAGGGAGGAGCCGCAGGGGCAGGUGGCCCCCUCAGCUCCCCCAUUGCCCCCUCGACUAAAUCUCUCCCCCAGGAGACCCAGAGAUGAAGGCCAGAGGAAGGUGGCGCCUCUGGCCCUCCCCAGACUUCGGGCUCCUCUUGCCUUGCCAAGAAUUAGGCCUGUGGCCUCAGCCCUGUGGGAAAGUACCUCCAGCCCCGAGGCCAGGGAGGGAGCCACAGAAAACUCCUAAAGGGAAAGUCACCCCUCCAGCUGCCCCUGUGUGUCCCGUGAUCGCUGCCCAGGCCCGGAGGCCAGGGCGCCAAGAUGUGCUGCUAAAGGGAGCCCCAGGGGCCUUGGAAGGGGUUUGCGGAGCAGAAAUAAACUGCCAAGCUUGGUCUGUC